UGUGACUGUGAAGCGCUUUGGGGCUUUGAAAGAAGGUAGAAAGUGCUAUAUAAGUAUACGCCAUUUACCAUUUAAUCACAAUGAGCAUAAAGAGCAAUUUGCUAUUUUUUCUUUUACUUGUGUUAGUUUACAAAAAAUAGUUUAACAUCUGUCAUGCAAACUUUCCUGACACUACUACUGAAAUAAAAUGUGUUCAUAUGCUGGAUUGGUUUAGUGUAGUUUUUAUAGAAAAUUUUAAAUGUAAAUAUAAUGACUUUUAUAUUGGAGUAGAAACCUGCCUUAUUACAAAAACCUAUUUUGACUGGUGAAAAGUAAAAAAAAAAAAAUAAAUAGAAUGAACGUUUUCAUUUUUUCUCGAAAGGCAAGCAGGGUGGUUUAAGGAGUUCAAAGUGGUGAGCAGGCGUUGCUGAUUGGACGGUUGCUGCGUUUUGAAUCUCCCGCUCAUUUCCUGAUACGGCUUCAGUCAGUCGUCCUGGUCCGUCAACGCAAGGAGAUUCUGCACUUCUGUCGCACCGUUCAUCCAGGCCAUUUAUUGAUAUCAAGGUCACCUGCAGCUUCACUCAAGUUGUCGUGACAGACUCGCCGAUAUAGAUUUCAUGUCAGCAGUUGUUGCUGUGGUUGGAGUAAUUGGGGACUCUUCUCUGGACGAUGCAACCAGAAGAGUGAUGGGCUUCCUCAUGUCCAAUGAGUUGGCUCUGCAAUAUAACCUGUUUGGACGUCAUGGAGAGAAUACGUUCUGCUAGUUGCGUCUUUUUGAUGUCUUCUAUGGGGCAGUGAAGAAAAAGGCCAUCACCCAACCAGUCCCACUAAAGGAAGUGGAGAAGGGCCUCUCCAAAUGGUUAUUGGAGCUUGUGACAGGGGAAGAAACCGAGCUAUAAGGACUCAAAGAGAGCUUGAAUAACAAGCCAAUGGAGCUUGUUCUCAGGAACCGUCAAGGAUGCCAUGAGUAUUUUGUUUUACUGGAUUUAUUUAUUUUUUCGUCACAUAAUUGGCACACAUUAAGGUUGUUGAUAUUGUACUGUACCAAGUGAAGUUCUUCUUUAUUUUAUUAAGUAACUGUAGUAUGUUAGAUCCUGUGUGUUAUCUGUUAAACCUUUGGGUGACCUUGCCAUGGUCUUGUAUAUCGUUUUCAUAAUGCAGGAUCAGGAUAAUUUAUUUUCUUUUAUUAAAUUGAAGCAUUUUAAAAAGCA